GAGGUGCUGAGUCGACUGCCUCAUCCUAGACAACCUCAUGGGUGGACCCCCCAUCACAUCCUCUGUUACCUCUCCCUCUAGUUCCAGAACCUCAAACCUAUUAUGCAGGAGCAUAUGGGGAGCCAAAAGCUUUCUGCCUAGUGGAGAGCAUGGCUAGAUUCGUUGUCUGGGAGGCAGCCUGUAGGCAGGUUCCUGACUCCAACCUCACCACAUCAGAACAUUGCUGCCACGUGGAGGACAAUGGCUCCUGGCAGCUGCUCCCUUGCUGGGCUACCCCUCAAUCAGUUGAAGCAAUUCCCUGCUUUGGCGUGAAAUGUGUCUGCUCCAGAGCCGAAUACCUCACUGAAAAAUCAGAGAUGCUGAGAUGAAUGUACUUCACAUAUAAAGAAGUGCAGCUUGCAUGUGGAUAACUGCUUCUUCACACAUGAUUCAUCUGCUUGAAAACCAGCCCUGGUAGAAAUGGCAAUGAAUGAUGCUGUAGCACUAUAUUAAUAUUCAUUUGUCACUCAUUUAGGGUUGCUGGUGCAGUGGUGGAGGAAGCAUUGCAAAACCACUGGUAGAGACUUGUUAGAAGAAGUCAUAGCUCAAUUGACUAUGUGAACUUCAAAGAAAAGAUAACAUGUAAAUACUGAAAAGAUAAAUUUUUUCUGCUUGGUAAUCAGGGUGAGACAUACAAGAUCAACAACAUUCAUCUGAUAAUAGGAAAAUUCAGCAGACUGUGUGAAGUACUGUACAGAUAUUAAACCUACUGCACUCACUAAAGGACUUGGUUAAAAUUCAUUGAUCACCUAAUUUCUGGAGAAAAGAAACAACUAGCUAGUAGUAAAUUGAACAGAUCAUAAAAGAGCUUGACAAUCUGCCAUAAAAGAAUUUUAAAGAAUUAUACCCACGGAAACAAGGGAUAUAUAAAACAAAGCAGAGAAUUUUAAAUUGCCACAGCUUGCUGGUUCUGCAUGACCCAAUAUCCUGGCUUGUGACAAAAGAUUCUCUUUAAUCUCGGUGUCUCAGGUGCGGAAUCCAUCUGUUGAUACCAAUUACAGAAGAUCACCAAAAGUCUUUACUAGAUGUAAUUUCAGUUUAUCAGUCACAUUAUACUUACCACGUAGAGGAAAAAUGAUGCUAAUUUUCCAAUUCAAAAUGCGCAUUUUGGAUGUAUUACUCUUACAACACAAGAAAAUCCUUUUUUAGAUUAUUUUAAAUUACGUUUAUCUCCCUUAAUAACACUAGCAGCAGUAUGCUAAGAAUGCCAAGGUGGAAGACACUAGUCUGUGUGUCAAACUGUGGUUAGUAUGGAAGACAGCAACACAGUAAAUAAACAAGUGAUUAUGCAACUCUCAGCUCUGUUAAAAG